rnacentral:rRNA from 1 species
GGGAAUUUUCCGCAAUGGGCGAAAGCCUGACGGAGCAAUACCGCGUGAGGGAUGACUGCCUAUGGGUUGUAAACCUCUUUUUUCAGGGAGGAAUCAAUGACGUGUACCUGAAGAAUAAGCAUCGGCUAACUCCGUGCCAGCAGCCGCGGUAAGACGGAGGAUGCAAGUGUUAUCCGGAAUCACUGGGCGUAAAGCGUCUGUAGGUGGUUUAGUAAGUCAACUGUUAAAUCUUGAGGCUCAACCUCGAAACCGCAGUCGAAACUACUAGACUAGAGUAUAGUAGGGGUAAAGGGAAUUUCCAGUGGAGCGGUGAAAUGCGUAGAGAUUGGAAAGAACACCGAUGGCGAAGGCACUUUACUGGGCUAUUACUAACACUCAGAGACGAAAGCUAGGGUAGCAAAUGGGAUUAGAUACCCCAGUAGUCA